ACGGGGCGCAGCAGGCGCGAAACCUUUGCAAUGUGCGCAAGCACGACAAGGUUAAUCCGAGUGUUUCCUGCUAAAGGAAUCUUUUGUUAGUCGUAAAACCACUGAUGAAUAAGGGGUGGGCAAGUUCUGGUGUCAGCCGCCGCGGUAAAACCAGCACCUCAAGUGGUCAGGAGGAUUAUUGGGCCUAAAGCAUCCGUAGCCGGCUCUGCAAGUUUUCGGUUAAAUCCAUUUGCUUAACAAAUGGGCUGCCGAAAAUACUACAUAGCUAGGGAGUGGGAGAGGUAGACGGUAUUCGGUAGGAAGGGGUAAAAUCCUUUGAUCUAUUGAGGACCACCUAUGGCGAAGGCAGUCUACCAGAACACGUUCGGCGGUGAGGGAUGAAAGCUGGGGGAGCAAACCGGAUUAGAUACCCGGGUAGUCCCAGCUGUAGACGAUGCAGACUCGGUGAUGCACUGGCUUGUGGCCAGUGCAGUGCCGCAGGGAAGCCGUUAAGUUUGCCGCCUGGGAAGUACGUACGCAAGUAUGAAACUUAAAGGAAUUGGCGCGGGAGCAC
rnacentral:rRNA from 2 species